AGCAGCCGCGGUAAUUCCAGCUCCAAUAGCGUAUAUUAAAGUUGUUGCAGUUAAAAAGCUCGUAGUUGAAUUUCGGGGUUAGUAGGUUGGUCAUGCCUCUGGUAUGUACUGGUCUCACUGAUUCCUCCUUCCUGAUGAGCCGUAAUGCCAUUAAUUUGGUGUUGCGGGGAAUUUGGACUGUUACUUUGAAAAAAUUAGAGUGUUUAAAGCAAGCUAACGCUUGAAUACAUUAGCAUGGAAUAAUGAAAUAGGACGUUCGAUCCUAUUUUGUUGGUUUCUAGGAUUGACGUAAUGAUUAAUAGGGAUAGUUGGGGGCAUUAGUAUUCAAUUGUCAGAGGUGAAAUUCUUGGAUUUAUUGAAGACUAACUACUGCGAAAGCAUUUGCCAAGGAUGUUUUCAUUAAUCAAGAACGAAAGUUAGGGGAUCGAAGACGAUCAGAUACCGUCGUAGUCUUAACCAUAAACUAUGCCGACUAGGGAUCGGAUGAUGUUAAUUUUUUAAUGUACUCAUUCGGCGUACC
rnacentral:rRNA from 1 species